rnacentral:rRNA from 1 species
AUUGAACGCUGGCGGCAGGCCUAACACAUGCAAGUCGAGCGGAUGAAGGGAGCUUGCUCCUGGAUUCAGCGUCGGACGGGUGAGUAAUGCCUAGGAAUCUGCCUGGUAGUGGUGGAUAACGUCCGGAAACGGGCGCUAAUACCUCAUACGUCCUGAGGGAGAAAGUGGGGGAUCUUCGGACCUCACGCUAUCAGAUGAGCCUAGGUCGGUUUAGCUAGUUGGUGGGUUAAAGGCCUACCAAGGCGACAAUCCGUAACUGGUCUGAGAGGAUGAUCAGUCACACGGGAAAUGGGAAACGGUCAGGACUCCUACGGGAGGAAGAAGUGGGGAAUAUUCGAAAAUGGGCGAAAGCCUGAUCAAGAAAGGCCGGGUGUGGGAAGAAGGUCUUCGGAUUGUAAAGCACGUUAAGUUGGGAGGAAGGGCAGUAAGUUAAUACCUUGAUGUUUUGACGUUACCAAAAGAAUAAGCACCGGCUAACUUCGUG